AAUCCCUGAAUCUGCCUAAAGUCAUUGAUCUCCUUAGAAUUUCCAUUUUCAAGAUCCAAUACCCUCUCCCUUUUUGCUGGAGCAGGUUUGAGUUGGCCUUUUGUCAGUUGCACGGAGAAAAUGAAUGUAUCACCUAUCCCAUAACACCCAUGAUCACUUAGGUAGUUCAUCUCCAAACAGAAUAACUUCCGAUUUGGUCUGUUCUUGGGCCAUUUGUAAUCUGAAGCCUGAAAGGCCCAAAAUGCACAACUAGAAUACAGAACAUCUGCAUAAUGCCAGCAUUCGGAGGCUCUGCCAGAACACCCUUGAGCUUGGGCCAUUCACCUAUUCCCCAUUGCUCAGGCUUCCCAGAUUUUGUAUUUUCUAGUAGUUGUUUGGGUUCCCUGGCAGUAUCUAAACAGUUGGAGUCUUCAAAGUAUUCAGUUGAUUGUUUUUUGUUUUUGUUAUAUAAUUAGGAAAAAACAAAAUGAGAAUGAUGUGAAUUUGGAGGAGCUAGCCACUGACAGGAAGGAGGAAGGCGCUCCAUACAGCAAAUGAAAUUCAGAACUCUGGCCAGCCCAUCGAGAAGAGGGUAACAGGCCUGCUGGGACAAGUUGAGAGAAGACGAAUGAAGUGAGGACGCUGCACACCAUAAUCUGAAAUAGUCCUAGCGGUGGAAAAGAAGCAGCCUGCAGACGAGGCGGGCAGUGGGAAGGUGCGCCUGCAGGAGGGAGCACCUUAUGGGGCUGGGCAACUCACUGAGAAAUGAUUCUGUCAUAGACAUGUGUGUAUUUCUUCUGAUAGUUAUGCUCUGGAUCAUCAGAAAAAUACAAAGGCAUAGCCACAAUUCAUACUAGUGGAGAGACCUCAACAGAGAUGGACCCACCCAAGCCUAGCUUGGAACUUGGACUCGGAUGGAACUUGGACUGCACAGACUGUGUGGCCCCACCCACUGGGGUUGAGGCUUCAAUAUAUGAAUUUCAGGGGGACACAUUUCAACCCAUAACUGCUUAAGAUGAGGCUCACAGGCUGGACUGAGGACUCCUCUCAGGGUGCAGCACAUAGGAAAC
rnacentral:lncRNA from 1 species